rnacentral:lncRNA from 1 species
AUGAUUUGGAGAAGAAAGUCAUUAAGAAAGCUACUACUCUCUUCAAGCUCUCAUGACCUCUGGUGUAGAUAUCUUCGUCAACUUUCUCCUAAUCGGUCUUCACAUUUUGCACUCACCCCUUUGUGCAUGGCCUUGAAAGUGCUCAUCUGGGAUACAGUGUGAGUGCAGACGUGAUUGCAACUGCAAGCAUUUUGUGCCCAUGCCCUGGGCAUCCAAGCCUCUCCAUAUCCCAUAUAUUGGACAGGAAGACAGAGGACAGUCUCUUUGAAGUCACCAAAUACCUCAGCGACUGCAGGUCCUGGGCGGGAUCUCCUGCCACCCCUAAAAACCUGACACGUGAAUCUGGGACCUCUGGACCUUCUACUCUGAUUGAGGUGGAGAGGUUCGGUGGAAAGAGGGCUUAGCCAUCGUGGCCCACUAAUCAAUUCAGCACAAUGCCUAGCACAUAGUAGGUAAUCAAUAAAUGUUUGCUGGAUUAAAUGAGAAGAACCA